rnacentral:rRNA from 1 species
GGAUUAGAUACCCUGGUAGUCCACGCCGUAAACGAUGUGUGCUAGUUGUUGGGCAUCAUAGAUGUUCAGUGACACAGCUAACGCGUUAAGCACACCGCCUGGGGAGUACGGUCGCAAGAUUAAAACUCAAAGGAAUUGACGGGGACCCGCACAAGCGGUGGAGCAUGUUGUUUAAUUCGAAGCAACGCGAAGAACCUUACCUACCCUUGACAUACUUGUCGCACUUACCAGAGAUGGUUUGUUUCAGUUAGGCUGGACAAUGUACAGGUGCUGCAUGGCUGUCGUCAGCUCGUGCCG